rnacentral:rRNA from 2 species
GGAUUCCCCUAGUAACUGCGAGUGAAGCGGGAAAAGCUCAAAUUUAAAAUCUGGCGGUCUUAUGGCCGUCCGAGUUGUAGUCUGGAGAAGUGCUUUCCGCGCUGGACCGUGUACAAGUCUCUUGGAACAGAGCGUCAUAGAGGGUGAGAAUCCCGUCUUUGACACGGACUACCAGUGCUUUGUGAUGCGCUCUCAAAGAGUCGAGUUGUUUGGGAAUGCAGCUCAAAAUGGGUGGUAAAUUCCAUCUAAAGCUAAAUAUUGGCGAGAGACCGAUAGCGAACAAGUACCGUGAGGGAAAGAUGAAAAGCACUUUGGAAAGAGAGUUAAACAGUACGUGAAAUUGCUGAAAGGGAAACGCUUGAAGUCAGUCGCGUUGGCCAGGACUCAGCCUUGCUUUUGCUUGGUGCAUUUUCUGGUUGACGGGCCAGCAUCGAUUUUGACCAUUGGAAAAAGAUUAGGGGAAUGUGGCACCUUCGGGUGUGUUAUAGCCCUUAGUCACAUACAGUGGUUGGGAUCGAGGACCGCAGCACGGCGUUAUGGGCGAAGCCCGGCCGGGCCGAUAUUGGCCCGGCUUCGCCCACGUUCGUGCUUAGGAUGCUGGCGUAAUGGCUUUAAACGACCCGUCUUGAAACACGGACCAAGGAGUCUAACAUGCCUGCGAGUGUUUGGGUGGAAAACCCGAGCGCGUAAUGAAAGUGAAAG